rnacentral:rRNA from 1 species
GUUGAACGCUGGCGGCAUGCUUUACACAUGCAAGUCGAACGGUAACAGGCCGCAAGGUGCUGACGAGUGGCGAACGGGUGAGUAAUGCAUCGGAACGUGCCCAGUCGUGGGGGAUAACGCAGCGAAAGCUGCGCUAAUACCGCAUACGAUCUAUGGAAGAAAGCGGGGGACCGUAAGGCCUCGCGCGAUUGGAGCGGCCGAUGUCAGAUUAGGUAGUUGGUGGGGUAAAGGCUCACCAAGCCGACGAUCUGUAGCUGGUCUGAGAGGACGACCAGCCAAACUGGGACUGAGAAACGGCCCAGACUCCUACGGGAGGCAGCAGUGGGGAAUUUUGGACAAUGGGGGCAACCCUGAUUCAGCAAUGCCGCGUGCAGGAAGAAGGCCUUCGGGUUGUAAACUGCUUUUGUACGGAACGAAACGGCUCUGGUUAAUACCUGGGGCUAAUGACGGUACCGUAAGAAUAAGCACCGGCUAACUACGUGCCAGCCGCCGCAGUAAGAC